rnacentral:lncRNA from 1 species
AGCUGUGGUCAGAGAGACUCAAGAUGGCAGGCAGAGGAUUCCACUUUGACCACGCCCAGUGGUUGCUGGUUCUGAGAUGCAGGGGGCUGUGUGCAAGGAACUGAAUUCUGCCAACAACCUGAAUGAACGAGGCAUUGGAUCCUUGUCUAGAGCCUUCAGAAAGGGACACAGCAGUGCCAUCACCUUGAUGUUGGCUGGGGAUAAAAUGCAUACUCCUGAGAAUAUAGUCACCUGGAUUCUGUCCACUUUUUUGUUUCCAUUCAGCCGUUCUUCACACACACUAUGGAAGCCAGUCUUGACACAGCUCCACUGGCUCGCGGAGUCCAUCGUUGUGGGCACUGUCUUAGACCCGUCUGAUUUCCUUCCUAUGUGGACAAGGCUCCAGAGAAACAAGAGGGACCCAACCAGCGACACUGCUUGCAAGAUAGCUACUUCAUCCCAGCUAAAAUCAGCUCUAACUGCAUUAAAGUGACCUGCCCUCAUUAACAUCUCAAAUUCUGCACAUGUGCACAUGCUACUACAUGCGCCUUAAGAGAACAUGACUACUGGGCAAUAAAGCCAAAUCUCCUGCCUUUCCCUUAACUGAAUAUUCACUAACCGUACUCUGAUAAAAGGACCCCUCAAACCCUUGCUCUGGGAGACACCACUUUGGAAAAUAUCCCUGGUAUUUUCUACUGCUUUUGCAGGUAAUAAACGUUUCUUCACCU